UACGUAGGGACCAAGCGUUGUUCGGAUUUACUGGGCGUAAAGGGCGCGUAGGCGGCAUGACAAGUCACUUGUGAAAUCUCCGGGCUUAACUCGGAACGGUCAAGUGAUACUGUCGCGCUAGAGUGCGGAAGGGGCAAUCAGAAUUCUUGGUGUAGCGGUGAAAUGCGUAGAUAUCAAGAGGAAUACCUGAGGUGAAGACGGGUUGCUAGGCCGACACUGACGCUGAAGCGCGGAAAGCCCAGGGGAGCAAACGGG
rnacentral:rRNA from 1 species